GUCACAAUGCUAAAAGAGUUUGACGGUGAUAAAGAAAAACUUGGUAAUGCCGAGAAGUUUUACGUAGAACUUAUCCAAUUACAAGCCUUCGAUACCCGAAUCAACGGCCUGGUCCUAAAGGACGAGUUUAAACAGGAUGUUUCCGCCAUUCGACCAAACAUUGAGUCAGUGGUCAACGCUUGCCAGCAUUUAUUGCACAACGAGUCGUUUGAGAUGUUCCUGAGAUACGUAUUGGAGACAGGAAACUUCAUGAAUGCGGGAGGUUACGCUGGCGACGCGAAAGGCUUCAAGAUUAGUUCAUUGAACAAACUGACAGACACACGAGCAAGCAAUCCCAGGGUCACCCUGCUACAUUACCUUGUGGAGGAGGCGGAGAAAAAGGACAAGGACGCCCUUGCAUUUGUAGGAGAGCUAUACCCUGACCUAAAUAGGGCCUCCAAGUUCACAAUUGAUGCUCUGACAGCAGAAGUGAAGGAUGUUAAGGACAGUGUUUCAAAUCUUGACAAAAACCUUAAAAACUGUCCGGCAGACGUCAAAAACCAACUCAAAAGUUUUUUACAGGAAGCCAAGACCGAGAUAAAGUCACUGGAGAAAGAUUUUAAAACGAUUGAUUCUUGGACGAAAAAAUUAGUUAAAUAUUUUUGUGAGAAUGAGAAAAGUUUCAAGUUGGAUGAAUGUAUCGAAACCCUAAAUACAUUUUGUGAGAAUAUCCAACGGUGUAAAAAGGAAAACGAAGAAAGAAAAGUUCAAGUGGAAAAGGCAGAGCGCAGAAAGAAACAAAAACUAGCGGCAGCCAAAGCCUCUCCGAAACAGCCAACGAGACCUAUAGAACAAGAAGAGGAUAAUAUUUUGGACCGCUUACGUGCUGAAAUUAGACAAGGGAUCAAUCUCCGCAAAACAGCACCCUCAUCAGGCUGAUUUCAACAUUAUGUGCAGAGAGCUGCAUGAUUCAAAAACCGGUUGAUGUUAGCAAAAUACUGAAAAACAUGUAAAUAUAUUGUCAAUCAAAGUUGUUUAAUAACUUAUUAAAGCUUUUGAAACGCGUCGAGAGCAUUGAUAAGAUCGUUUGAAAAUCCGAGAUAUUUCAUGCGUAGAGUCUACACCUCUAGGGGUGUUUUGGUCGGUCAAGAAGUAAAACCGAUCGUAUGUAAAUAGCUUAUAAAAACGUAACGAGACGUGUUUCAUCAAAUUAAAGAGCAUCUUUGGGGCAAAACGAAUGUGGUUUUUGUGAAACUUAGUUCUUUUGUUUACAUUUACUAUGUUACAACGAAACUGUAGUCGUUUUUAUACAUAGAACUAAAAAAUUGUAUUUUGUGCAAUUAUGCAAAAUUAUAUGUUAUUAAAUUUAAGAUGCAAACAAUAAAAUAUAGUUUAAUU
rnacentral:misc_RNA from 1 species